rnacentral:lncRNA from 10 species
CUCCUGCUCUCACCACGUGAUACAUCAGCUCCCCCUUCACCUUCUGCCAUGAUUGUAAGCUUCCUGAGGUCAUCCAAAAGCUGAGCAGAUGCCAACCAUGCUUCCUGUAUGUACAGCCUGCAGAACUGAGGCCAAGGUGGUAGGAUCACUUGAAGUUGGGAGUUCAAGACCAGCCUGACCAACAUGGUGAAACCUCGCCUCCACUGAAAAUACAAAAAUUAGCUGGGCAUGGUGGCAGGCACCUGUAAUCCUAGCUACUCGCUAAGACUGAGGCAGGAGAAUCGCUUGAACCCAGGAGACGGAAGUUGCAGUGAGCCGAGAUCAUGCCACUGCACUCCAGCCUGGGCAACAGGGCGAGACUCCACCUCAAAAAAAAAAAAAAUGUGUAAUUAACUGUUCCCCAUGUCAAUAAAUAUUCUCUUCU